rnacentral:lncRNA from 1 species
AACUCUAAUGCAAAAUUUUAUACGUGUUGGCAUUCGGUUAAAUCGAAUCGGGUACGCCCAUAAGCGGGUUCGAUCCGACGGAUAUUAUGUUAUCUAAUUGGAUUAGAAUUAAUCUCGCUUUCAAAUUAAAAAGCUAAUUAGAGAUAAAUAUAAUCAUAUUAGGAUAACAAAUAAUAACCGAUUUGGCCUUAUCUCUAACGUUAUUAGGAUUUUGAAAUUCCUUAUAAAUAUGCGGGCGAUCCCACCUAACAAAAUAUGAAAAAUAAUGGAAAAAGAGAGAGAAUAAGAAAAUAAUAGAGAAAAACCACAUCCUCCAUUGACCUAUUAUUCUAGAGGGACUUGCACGGUAGAUUUGCGAUCGCACUCGUUUGUAGUUCGAUCCACCGCGAGUUCGUGGAGCGUGAGAAGACAUUCAAGGACGAUCCGAGGACACGUGAAUCAAUCUAAACGAUCCGGGCUCACGCGUUGUUGCGCGAAUCGCUUCCGCAAAAAUGUACGAACCGAUAACUGCCGCUGCGUUCUACAAUACGACAACCAAAGAUUAUUGAAAUUUUUCUUCACUCAAAUAACACUUUUGUAAAAUAUAU